UGUUAACGUUAGUUAGCAUGGAAGUAUCCAGGUUGCUAAUGUUAGCCUAGAGAAAAUAGUUUGCGACAUUAACAGAAACUAAUAAUUCAUAUAUCAACCUUAACUUUAAGAUUGUAAACAUUGAUUUGACAUACAGUUUAAGAUGGUAAACAUUGUACAACUUUAUGUAAACAUUAUCUAACUUCAUAUAAAACAAAUUGCACUUUAAAUCAACAUUUAUUUUAAGUUAUUUUAAAUAAAUGCAUAUUCUCACAUUUUUCUGAGACAAAUUUUAAAAUACUUUAUUUCACCUUUAUUUAAACAGGUAAGCUAGUUGAGAACAAGUUCUCAUUUGCAACUGCGACCUGGCUGAUCAAUCACUGAAUGAGUUGAUUUCUUCAUCUUGAAAUGCAAUAUUUGAGAUUUUAUGUAUUUUUAUCAAAUCAAAACUGGAAUUUCUACUCAAAGCAAAGGUUUUAAAAGUAUACUAGACAUUUAUAGAAUAAAUCAUACAUAGUUGGAUAUUUCUGUGACAAAUGGUGAAUUAGUUAUUGAUUUAUACAGUUUUAUAUGACAUUUGAUAGAUUUAAUGCGAGACUUUUAUAGAAUAAACCAUAUCUAUUUUUGUUUCUGUGACAAUCAAUGAAUCAGUGUGAGCUAUUGUGAAUAAGCCACUGCAGUUAUGAAAUUGAUAAACGAAUGGCCAUGUUUCAAGUGUGUGCCGACGGAAUAUUUUUUGUAUUUAUUAGGAUCCGGAUUAGCCGCUGCAAAAGUAUCAGAAUUGUUCACUUCUCUCAUUGACUUGUCAAACUCCGGCUUGGUCUGCUUCACAAGCGUUCUCUGAAGUCUCGCGAUGUUACGUCUCUGGGUUGAGAAACUGGUAGUGGGGAACAGGAAGUUCCGCGCAGGCGCACAUCAUUCUUCAGAAUAAAGGAUACGCCAGAAUUGUGCAGUCAAGAUGGCAACUUCUGUGUCCGUUUCAAAUGUAUUACUACUGAUUAAGUCUGAGGCCGGUAACCUCAACAGUGAGGACAAACCCAACCUGCCUCUCUCCUUCCACACUGAGUCCAAGCCUACAGUCACUGGGUCCUGAUUGUGACAGUGGAGUCCAGUUUGCACUGCAGGAUCCAGAGAUGGCAUCAGUGAAGCUGGAAGACUGCAGUCAAAUCCUGGAGCUGAAUGUCAACAUUAAAGAUGAAGAAGAGGAGGAGAAGAUUGGGACAUCUGUUAGUCAAGGACGACUAGAAUUAUGUCUGAGGCCGGUAACAUCAACAGUGAGGACAAACCCAGCCUGCCUCUCUCCAUCCACACUGAAUCCAAACCUACAGUCACUGGGUCCUGAUUGUGACAGUGGAGCCCAGUUUUCACUGCAGGAUCCAGAGAUGGCAUCAGU